GGGCAUGCUCAGCAUGAAAAUUAGGGCCGGCGGGUCUGAGUUGUAGUCUCGGGAGGUGUUGCCAACAGCGGCGCUGCUGUACGUCUCUUGGAAACGAGUACCAACGAGGGUGAGGGUCCCGUUUGUCAGUGGCAGNCCGCUGUGCACGGUGCACAUUCUCAGAGUCACGCUCCUUGGGAUUGGAGCGCAAUGCUGGUGGUAAGCUUCAUCUAAAGCUACACAUGGGCUCAAGACCGAUAGCAAACAAGUACCAUGAGGGAAAGGUGAAAAGGACUUUGAAAAGAAAGGUAAAAGUGCUUGAAAUCGCUGAACAUGAAGUGAGCGAAGCCACCAUGUYUUGGCGAGAUUGCUGCACAUCACCGCCACUGCUUGCUGCGUCAGCAUACGUGUGGCAGUAGGUCUAGAGCAGGCCGUGUGCAGUGCGUCUUGCCUUGCCUGUCAGCAUCGCCUCACACGCGAGGAAGAUGUCAAGGACAUGGUAGCUCCCCCCAGCGUGUGAAUAUCCU
rnacentral:rRNA from 1 species